rnacentral:rRNA from 1 species
AUUGAACGCUGGCGGCAGGCCUAACACAUGCAAGUCGAGCGGAUGAAGGGAGCUUGCUCCUGGAUUCAGCGGCGGACGGGUGAGUAAUGCCUAGGAAUCUGCCUGGUAGUGGGGGAUAACGUCCGUAAACGGGCGCUAAUACCGCAUACGUCCUGAGGGAGAAAGUGGGGGAUCUUCGGACCUCACGCUAUCAGAUGAGCCUAGGUCGGAUUAGCUAGUUGGUGGGGUAAAGGCCUACCAAGGCGACGAUCCGUAACUGGUCUGAGAGGAUGAUCAGUCACACUGGAACUGAGACACGGUCCAGACUCCUACGGGAGGCAGCAGUGGGGAAUAUUGGACAAUGGGCGAAAGCCUGAUGGAGCCAUGCCGCGUGUGUGAUGAAGGUCUUCGGAUUGUAAAGCACUUUAAGUUGGGAAGAAGGGAAGUAUAUUAAUCCCUGCAUAUCUUGACGUUACCAACAGAGAAAGCACCGGCUAACUUCGUG